CUCACUUCGGAGUUCGGAUGGUGUCUAGCAACGUUGGGUACCUCGUUUCUUGUGUGUGUGAGCGAGUGGUUGACUUGCUGUUUACGAUGUGUUCAUAUAUCGCUUUGUAGUGCUGUAAUGUGCAAAUUAGCGGCUCUCUGGCUCUCUAUUUUCCGUCGUUGUCUUUCGAGCAGCGCCUGUUGUUCCGGUAAAAAUCGAGUUGAAUGAAUCGCCACAGCCCCAACGUAUAUCGCGCAGUGUUGACCAAGACCAAGUCAAGCAGGAAUUCUGGCAUGGUAUGUGGCUGCACGAAAGAUUCCGAAAAAGAAAAACAACAACAUGGCUAACAGGAUGUUGCUGCCCAGGGAGUCCUGGCGAAGAGGUUUACUCAUUCCAGAAGCAAGAAUUGUAUCAUUGUAAGGCGAAUGGAAAUAAACUGACAUCGACUGA